UGCAGUCGAACGAGCUUCCGUUGAAUGACGUGCUUGCACUGAUUUCAACAAUGAAGCGAGUGGCGAACUGGUGAGUAACACGUGGGGAAUCUGCCCAGAAGCAGGGGAUAACACUUGGAAACAGGUGCUAAUACCGUAUAACAACAAAAUCCGCAUGGAUUUUGUUUGAAAGGUGGCUUCGGCUAUCACUUCUGGAUGAUCCCGCGGCGUAUUAGUUAGUUGGUGAGGUAAAGGCCCACCAAGACGAUGAUACGUAGCCGACCUGAGAGGGUAAUCGGCCACAUUGGGACUGAGACACGGCCCAAACUCCUACGGGAGGCAGCAGUAGGGAAUCUUCCACAAUGGACGAAAGUCUGAUGGAGCAAUGCCGCGUGAGUGAAGAAGGGUUUCGGCUCGUAAAACUCUGUUGUUAAAGAAGAACACCUUUGAGAGUAACUGUUCAAGGGUUGACGGUAUUUAACCAGAAAGCCACGGCUAACUACGUGCCAGCAGCCGCGGUAAUACGUAGGUGGCAAGCGUUGUCCGGAUUUAUUGGGCGUAAAGCGAGCGCAGGCGGUUUUUUAAGUCUGAUGUGAAAGCCUUCGGCUUAACCGGAGAAGUGCAUCGGAAACUGAGAGACUUGAGUGCAGAAGAGGACAGUGGAACUCCAUGUGUAGCGGUGGAAUGCGUAGAUAUAUGGAAGAACACCAGUGGCGAAAGGCGGCUGUCUAGUCUGUAACUGACGCUGAGGCUCGAAAGCAUGGGUAGCGAACAGGAUUAGAUACCCUGGUAGUCCAUGCCGUAACGAUGAGUGCUAAGUGUUGAGGGUUUCCGCCCUUCAGUGCUGCAGCUAACGCAUUAAGCACUC
rnacentral:rRNA from 2 species